CUUACCAUGCAAGUCGAGCGGUAACAGGAGAAGCUUGCUUCUCGCUGACGAGCGGCGGACGGGUGAGUAAUACUUAGGAAUCUACCUAGUAGUGGGGGAUAGCUCGGGGAAACUCGAAUUAAUACCGCAUACGACCUACGGGAGAAAGGGGGCAACUUGUUGCUCUCGCUAUUAGAUGAGCCUAAGUCGGAUUAGCUAGAUGGUGGGGUAAAGGCCUACCAUGGCGACGAUCUGUAGCUGGUCUGAGAGGAUGAUCAGCCACACCGGGACUGAGACACGGCCCGGACUCCUACGGGAGGCAGCAGUGGGGAAUAUUGGACAAUGGGGGCAACCCUGAUCCAGCCAUGCCGCGUGUGUGAAGAAGGCCUUUUGGUUGUAAAGCACUUUAAGCAGUGAAGAAGACUCCAUGGUUAAUACCCAUGGACGAUGACAUUAGCUGCAGAAUAAGCACCGGCUAACUCUGUGCCAGCAGCCGCGGUAAU
rnacentral:rRNA from 1 species